UGAAUGCUUUUGAGACACCUCCCAAGCGUCGCAAGACUAUAGUAGACAUUGAUGAGGACGUUCGCAGACUAGACAGAGUUAUCAUAGAUCUCCAGUCCUCGAUUAAUUCCCUCACUAGACAGCUCUCUAACCACAACACCAUUAUACUAGGCCUUAGGCAGGAUCUUGCCAGUGCCAACAAGAAGAUUAAGGAAUUAGAGCGUCGCUAAGUUAUCUAGAUUAGACCUUGAGGCAAUGCAUCUUAGUCAUUUAUCUUUAAAUUCGGUUUAGGUUUGCUACUAUCAUCAGUUUACUAUUAUCAUUAGUUUGCUAUCAGUUUGCUAUCAGUCUUUUGUAAUAAAUGCCUCGAGAUCAAUAAAGAGUAUUAUUAUUAUUAUGUCUUGUGUGUCUCUACUUUAUUUUUGUGCAAGAAAGCAGAAAACAAGUAUGGGGGAGAUCCCUCAACAUGCCAAACACACUCCGACUACACCACUCCACGAUUCAGGUACACACUCUGCACACUUUACUUUACACAUACAUAUAUUUUGGAAUAUGCAGAUUAUUGUCUCUGAUAUGAUAAAAUAAAAAGAUUAAAAUAUUUCUAAUCAUGGUUAAUCUCAAUCUGUGAUAUUUCCUGAAAACUUGCAAUUAUUAAAAAUCAUUUUAAAACCCUGUGUCACUUAAAGUCAAUAUGGAAUAUGUGAUGGUAGAGUAUGAGUUUCUUAUUCUUGAUAUCAUUGUUGCUUGAAGAAUUUAUUUCAAAAUAAAUCCUAGCUACCAUCCUCAGUGUUUUAUGCCUGAUAAGACUGAAAAUAUUAAUUAUGAUUAUAAAAGCUAUCUACUCUGUAUUGAGCUUGUUCAAAAUGAGUUAGACCCUUGUAGAGAGAUUUAUCAUGCUCCUAAGAUCAAGACAUUAUUUUAGAAAGAUUCACUCUUCCGAAGUAUUAUUGCAUUAGAGGCAUGGGCUAUGCAAAAAAUAAAAAUAUUUCGAGGAAAUAAAAAGGAGCAAGUGCUCGACAACCUCGCAGAAAAAUGGACAAGUGUCCGGCAGUAGAAUUAGGGGUACCUCGGUAUCCACUUAAAGAAAAAAAAAGAGAAAAAGAGAAAAUAAUAGCCCAUGGUCCCUCUAAUAAGCAAUAUGCCAGCAAGAGUUGACAAAGAUUUUAAUUUCCAAAGUGUUUGAUCUAAGAGUAUGACAUUUCCGUCCUCGGAUCCCGUUUUGAUCAGACAAUAAAUGCAAAGUAAGUAUGCUUGAGAAUUUUUGCAAAAAAAUAAAACAGCCUCAGUGAGAUAUAUAUAAAAGAUAAUGAGUGAUCUGAGAGAACCUAUGAGGAUAAAAUUCAAAAAUAUACAAAAACUCCAAGUGACAGGAUUGAGAAGAAAGGAUCUUUACUCUCAACCAUAAACAUCCCUGACUAUGGUACACAGUGGAUUUUUAACACCCUGCAAAUAUAAAGAAUGUUUUAAAAUAUUUUACCCCAGAUAUUGUUCUUAACCAUCCUUUUCUCAAGGACGAGUAAAAGCCUAAGUAUGGGGGUAUUUGUUGACGGUUCUUAAGUAUCAAUUUGAAUUAUCAAAUAAACAUGAGAAAGGACCAAUAUGCAACCAACACCUAGAAUUAGGGUUUGAUCUGACAGAAUUCCACGAGUUUUGUUGUUUAUCUGGUUCUGCAGGGGGUUAUCAGGAAAUAAGGAAGAAAGGCCCACAUGUCGGGAUUACAUAGAGAUAUCAACGCACCGCGAGAUUUUCCACCAUCUAGAAGACUCCAGAAGCCACGGGAAGAAGACGGAGGCCGAAAGGGGCCAGGCCCAGGGCGCCCGCCCCCCUCUGGAAACCUUUCAGGACUCUCUUCGCUCGGGAUAUUCCACCGACCUACUGGAUCAAGAAAAACAUAGUACCACCUCGCCUAUCGACCCAAAAACGCAUAGAAGAGGAGGACUAUAUAAGGAGACCCCCCUGGCCCCUGGAGAAGACAUGAAGAAAUUAUCAUAGAGACUGAGGGGUGCCCUCGAAGGAAAACCUCUUCUCUAAUUAAUAUUUCUUUUUAGGCUUAGCAACCAAUGUAAGGUAGAAAUAGAUCUUCUAGUUUCUACUAGAUUGAGAGAGAUAGAGUGGAGGUGUAGAUUGGAGGAAGCCCGGCCUGUCGGUGUCUACUCCAAGCUUGUACCUGCGGGAUCAAGUUC
rnacentral:lncRNA from 1 species